GACGAACGCUGGCGGCGUGCUUAACACAUGCAAGUCGAACGAUGAAGCCUAGCUUGCUAGGUGGAUUAGUGGCGAACGGGUGAGUAAUACGUGAGUGACCUACCUUUGACUCUGGGAUAAGCCUGGGAAACUGGGUCUAAUACCGGAUACGACCAAUCUCUGCAUGGGGUGUUGGUGGAAAGCGUUAUGGAGUGGUUUUAGAUGGGCUCACGGCCUAUCAGCUUGUUGGUGAGGUAAUGGCUUACCAAGGCGACGACGGGUAGCCGGCCUGAGAGGGUGACCGGCCACACUGGGACUGAGACACGGCCCAGACUCCUACGGGAGGCAGCAGUGGGGAAUAUUGCACAAUGGGCGCAAGCCUGAUGCAGCGACGCCGCGUGAGGGAUGACGGCCUUCGGGUUGUAAACCUCUGUUAGCAUCGAAGAAAGCGAAAAGUGACGG
rnacentral:rRNA from 1 species